UUUUUCUCUCUGCAAUUUGCAAAAAUAGGUCGGCCCGUAGUUUUGAGACUUUAUCGGUAACACCAAAUGGCCGAAACGAAGCAAGUUUUGAUCGGCCAUCUGGAACACCCUUCUCAAUUCCCUUAGUAGGACUGAGGCAUUUAUCGCACUUCAGUUUUAUAUUCAGUGAUUGUCAUUAAGAAAAAAAAAAUUAAAAAACUAAAAUUACCACACGACGAAGCUCAAGUCCGUUUCUUCCCAAAUCCUUCGCAAAGUCAUGUGGAUGACUCCAUCAUUUUGAAUGGGACUUAAGGGCAUUGAAUAAUAUCUCACUUUGCACUUCUGGCAGUCUCAGCCGUUCUUUGAUUCUGGAAGGUUUGAAAAUGUUGUUAUCGUUUUCUUUUAACGAAUGUCGGUCAGUGGUACAUGGCACAUCAAC